rnacentral:rRNA from 1 species
GGGUUGUGAGGUUAAGCGACUAAGCGUACACGGUGGAUGCCCUGGCAGUCAGAGGCGAUGAAGGACGUGCUAAUCUGCGAUAAGCGUCGGUAAGGUGAUAUGAACCGUUAUAACCGGCGAUUUCCGAAUGGGGAAACCCAGUGUGAUUCGUCACACUAUCAUUAACUGAAUCCAUAGGUUAAUGAGGCGAACCGGGGGAACUGAAACAUCUAAGUACCCCGAGGAAAAGAAAUCAACCGAGAUUCCCCCAGUAGCGGCGAGCGAACGGGGAGGAGCCCAGAGCCUGAAUCAGUGUGUGUGUUAGUGGAAGCGUCUGGAAAGGCGCGCGAUACAGGGUGACAGCCCCGUACACAAAAAUACACAUAUUGUGAGCUCGAUGAGUAGGGCGGGACACGUGGUAUCCUGUCUGAAUAUGGGGGGACCAUCCUCCAAGGCUAAAUACUCCUGACUGACCGAUAGUGAACCAGUACCGUGAGGGAAAGGCGAAAAGAACCCCGGCGAGGGGAGUGAAAAAGAACCUGAAACCGUGUACGUACAAGCAGUGGGAGCACGCUUAGGCGUGUGACUGCGUACCUUUUGUAUAAUGGGUCAGCGACUUAUAUUCUGUAGCAAGGUUAACCGAAUAGGGGAGCCGAAGGGAAACCGAGUCUUAACUGGGCGUUAAGUUGCAGGGUAUAGACCCGAAACCCGGUGAUCUAGCCAUGGGCAGGUUGAAGGUUGGGUAACACUAACUGGAGGACCGAACCGACUAAUGUUGAAAAAUUAGCGGAUGACUUGUGGCUGGGGGUGAAAGGCCAAUCAAACCGGGAGAUAGCUGGUUCUCCCCGAAAGCUAUUUAGGUAGCGCCUCGUGAAUUCAUCUCCGGGGGUAGAGCACUGUUUCGGCAAGGGGGUCAUCCCGACUUACCAACCCGAUGCAAACUGCGAAUACCGGAGAAUGUUAUCACGGGAGACACACGGCGGGUGCUAACGUCCGUCGUGAAGAGGGAAACAACCCAGACCGCCAGCUAAGGUCCCAAAGUCAUGGUUAAGUGGGAAACGAUGUGGGAAGGCCCAGACAGCCAGGAUGUUGGCUUAGAAGCAGCCAUCAUUUAAAGAAAGCGUAAUAGCUCACUGGUCGAGUCGGCCUGCGCGGAAGAUGUAACGGGGCUAAACCAUGCACCGAAGCUGCGGCAGCGACGCUUAUGCGUUGUUGGGUAGGGGAGCGUUCUGUAAGCCUGCGAAGGUGUGCUGUGAGGCAUGCUGGAGGUAUCAGAAGUGCGAAUGCUGACAUAAGUAACGAUAAAGCGGGUGAAAAGCCCGCUCGCCGGAAGACCAAGGGUUCCUGUCCAACGUUAAUCGGGGCAGGGUGAGUCGACCCCUAAGGCGAGGCCGAAAGGCGUAGUCGAUGGGAAACAGGUUAAUAUUCCUGUACUUGGUGUUACUGCGAAGGGGGGACGGAGAAGGCUAUGUUGGCCGGGCGACGGUUGUCCCGGUUUAAGCGUGUAGGCUGGUUUUCCAGGCAAAUCCGGAAAAUCAAGGCUGAGGCGUGAUGACGAGGCACUACGGUGCUGAAGCAACAAAUGCCCUGCUUCCAGGAAAAGCCUCUAAGCAUCAGGUAACAUCAAAUCGUACCCCAAACCGACACAGGUGGUCAGGUAGAGAAUACCAAGGCGCUUGAGAGAACUCGGGUGAAGGAACUAGGCAAAAUGGUGCCGUAACUUCGGGAGAAGGCACGCUGAUAUGUAGGUGAAGUCCCUUGCGGAUGGAGCUGAAAUCAGUCGAAGAUACCAGCUGGCUGCAACUGUUUAUUAAAAACACAGCACUGUGCAAACACGAAAGUGGACGUAUACGGUGUGACGCCUGCCCGGUGCCGGAAGGUUAAUUGAUGGGGUCAGCGCAAGCGAAGCUCUUGAUCGAAGCCCCGGUAAACGGCGGCCGUAACUAUAACGGUCCUAAGGUAGCGAAAUUCCUUGUCGGGUAAGUUCCGACCUGCACGAAUGGCGUAAUGAUGGCCAGGCUGUCUCCACCCGAGACUCAGUGAAAUUGAACUCGCUGUGAAGAUGCAGUGUACCCGCGGCAAGACGGAAAGACCCCGUGAACCUUUACUAUAGCUUGACACUGAACAUUGAGCCUUGAUGUGUAGGAUAGGUGGGAGGCUUUGAAGUGUGGACGCCAGUCUGCAUGGAG